CCUACGGGUGGCAGCAGUGGGGAAUAUUGGGCAAUGGAGGCAACUCUGACCCAGCAAUGCCGCGUGAGUGAUGAAGGUAAUCUUAUUGUAAAGCUCUGUUCUUUGGAACGAAUAAAUGACGGUACCAAAGGAUUAAGCCCCGGCUAACUACGUGCCAGCAGCCGCGGUAAUACGGAGGGGGCAAGCGUUGUUCGGAAUGACUGGGCGGAAAGGGUGUGUAGGUGGUUUGAUAAGUUAGAUGUGUAAUAGCCAGUGCUUAACUCGGGUGCUGCAUCUGAAACUGUUAGACUUGAGUGCAGGAGAGGAUAGUGGAAUUCCUAGUGUAGCGGUGGAAUGCGUAGAUAUUAGGAGGAACAUCGGUGGCGAAGGCGACUAUCUGGACAGCAACUGACGCUGAGGCUCGAAAGCGUGGGGAGCAAACAGGAUUAGAUACCCCUGUAGUC
rnacentral:rRNA from 1 species